GCUCACAUAGCUCAGUUGGCAGAGCGUCACCUUGGUAAGGUGGAGGUCGUCGGUUCAAUCCCGAUUGUGAGCUCCA
rnacentral:tRNA from 12 species